rnacentral:lncRNA from 13 species
CUCAGUCCCCAGGGAAGUGCUUCUCCACCUCUCCAGCCAUGUUUUCUCAAAACAACAUGCAGAUGGGUCUGAACACCAGGAAGAUUUGUGGGUGUCCCACUGCUGAAGUCGGAGGAGGACAGUGCUGUGGAGAGCAGGAAGGACUCAAUGAUGGAAGCUUUUACGUAGCAUAGAAGACAAAUUCCACACAUCUUCUUCCCAGAUAGGGAGAAUGUGGAAUGGAUCAAGUGACAAUGCUAAACAAAUCGGCACAGCCAACCUCCUGAGAGAUUUCCACAUGAAUAAGCUGGUCUGAUAUGAGUGAUUCUUUGGACUCUUUCCUGGGAAUCAAGGAAGAAGUUAUUCUUGGUUUUGCUGCUGGGUUUGAAGAAGGAACACAUGGACCAAGGAGGUACCAGCAGCCAUUUUAAGCCACAAGAGGAGCCACUUACAAAGACUCUCUGUGACCCAACUUUAGUCAAGCUCCUCUGAGCUCUCUUUUCAACUAGGCCUUGACCUUGGGCCCCUGGCUUGUCUUUGGUCUGCCCAGCUGAGUUUGGCUCAGCUAAGAGCCCAAGCCAGGCUAUGGCAAAAGAAGUCCUGAUUCUAAGGUGAAGACAAGACCACACAUGGCCCUGGUUUGCCCCAUCCUGUGCCUAUAAAGACCCCAGACUCAGUUGGCAGAGAGGAGAAGCUGCUGGACAUCAGAGACUAUGGCUGGCCGUUGGAGAGAAGUGGCUUGACUUCAGAGGGACAGCUUGAUGGUGUAACUUUGGAGAAUAAUCCAACAGGAGAUGGCUGGACUUCUGGGGAAGAUUACCUACCAUCCCCUGUCCCUUUUUCAGCUCCCCUUCCUACUGAGAGCCACUUUCCUCACCAGUAAAAUCCCUCACCUUUAC